UACGUAGGGGGCUAGCGUUGUCCGGAAUCAUUGGGCGUAAAGAGCGCGUAGGCGGCCCGGUAAGUCCGCUGUAAAAGUCCAGGGCUCAACCCUGGAAAGCCGGUGGAUACUGUCGGGCUCGAGUCCGGAAGAGGCGAGUGGAAUUCCAGGUGUAGCGGUGAAAUGCGCAGAUAUCAGGAGGAACACCGGUGGCGAAGGCGGGUCUCUGGGCCGAUACUGACGCUGAGGAGCGAAAGCGUGGGGAGCGAACAGG
rnacentral:rRNA from 1 species